rnacentral:rRNA from 1 species
AACGAACGCUGGCGGCAGGCCUAACACAUGCAAGUCGAACGCCCGUAGCAAUACGGGAGUGGCAGACGGGUGAGUAACGCGUGGGAACGUGCCCUUCGGUUCGGAAUAACUCAGGGAAACUUGAGCUAAUACCGGAUACGUCCGUAAGGAGAAAGAUUUAUCGCCGAAGGAUCGGCCCGCGUCGGAUUAGCUAGUUGGUGAGGUAACGGCCCACCAAGGCGACGAUCCGUAGCUGGUCUGAGAGGANGAUCAGCCACACUGGGACUGAGACACGGCCCAGACUCCUACGGGAGGCAGCAGUGGGGAAUAUUGGACAAUGGGCGGAAAGCCUGAUCCAGCCAUGCCGCGUGAGUGGAGAAGGCCUUAGGGUUGUAAAGCUCUUUCAGCGGGAAGAUAAUGACGGUACCCGCAGAAGAAGCCCCGGCUAACUUCGUGCCAGCCGCCGCUGUAAU